GAACCCAAAAACGUAUGCAUUUAAUACUUUCAAAUCACAUACUUAUACAAAUACAAAUACAAUUACAUAUACAAAUGUCCAAAUAUUAAGAAAACUUAUACAAAUAUACUUACAUAUACAAAUAUACAAACAUACAUAUACUUGUACAAGUAUACAAACGUAUACAAAAUUACAUACUUAUACAAAUACGUUUACCUAAAUGAUUUUAAAUAAAUUUUACUUAUCCGUUUACAUUUGACUUUAUCGUAUUGAAUUGAAAUUUGUGUCUGAUUGAGGACUGUGUCAUUACCGGCUUCAAAAUAGCUUUCUUCGUAUACACUUGAUCAAUCAAAACUUCAUUAUGAUUUGAUCCUGAAAAAUUUACUUGAAAUUACUCAUUUAUAAUAAUUACUUCAAUCUGUUCAAUAGGACCUGCAUCAAUUUGGUCAUUUGUAUCAUCAUUAUCAACUCCAAUAAGAUUUUCAAACAUUUAAUGAUUUGUGAGGAAAAACACUAAUUAAUUUUACUAUACAUUCAGUAAUCAAAAAUAUAAAAAUCCAACAAUCAGAACGAAUUCAUAAUCGUAAUAGUUAUUCGAAUUCAGAAAACAUAUACAAAUUCGAGAAUGAAUUCAAAAACAUAUUUUUCAGAAAAAAGUAUUUCAUGAAUUGUCUUUUACAUAUUUUUGAAUAGAGAUUUUACCUAUUAUCAAUUGUAUGAAUUGAGAUCUUCUACUGCUUAUUUCAAAUCUUAAGAAAAUAUUUUUCUUCAGUUUUGGCAGAUCUAUAAAAAUAAGAUUUAAUGUUUAGUUAUGAAGGAGAAAUAUGUGGACAAG
rnacentral:lncRNA from 1 species